rnacentral:lncRNA from 1 species
CCCUUCUAGAUUCCAAAAUAGCAUUGAUCUUGUGGUGAGAGUUUGCUGCCUAACUGCCAUAUUGAGAAAUACUAUUGGAUUUGAGGUUGCUGGGGAGUGACAAGAUCAAAUGUCUAAUGACUUGUAGUCUUGUUUAGGAGGCUGAUAGACUCAGGAAAUGAAAACAGAAGUUGGGGACUCUAUGAAUUUAGAGAGUGGGUGUGGACAUUCACAGUCAGGAGAGCACUGGAGAAAAGGGUUAGAGGAGGGAUAAUUUAUACUUGUGAUUUUGGGUGUAGAGCCAUUCUUUAUGUAUUUUUUCAAUAUUUUUUGAGAUUAUAAAUAUAGUUACAUUAUUUCUCCCUCCCUCUUUCUCUUGCUCAACCUUCCCACAUAUCCAGCGUUGCUUUCUUUGAAAUUCAUGGCCUCUUUUUUUUUUUUUUUUUGUUAAUUGUUGUUAGGCAGCCACGUUGGUGAGACUUCAUGGAUAUAGCUUUUGACAUUUCUAUAUGACAAAAUCUCACAGCAAACUUCCUAGUCCUCUGGUUCUUACAAUAUUUCUGCUCCAUCUUUUGGGAUCAUCCCUUGAGCUUUAGGUAGAUGUAUCAGUUGGGAUAGUGUGAAGCAAUUCUUGAUAAUGAAAAACUCUGAGAUCUCUCCCUGACAGUGUGGGGGUGCAUAAAUUCCAAAGGAUCAAGCUGCUAGACUAAGGUGUGGCUGUUUCAAGAGAGCAAUCAAAGAGGAAGGAUAGAGCUAAGGACAGGGGAAGUAAAUUGCUUUCUUCUGGUAAAUGAGCAUUCCAGAAAUGCGAGCUUUAAUUGGGUUAGGUGACCACAAAUAUUACAAAGAUGGAAUGAGUCAUUUAGUGACAGAGAUGUCUGAGGUGGUAACCUUCCCAACAUGUCUGUAUGGGCUUCUCGUGGAUAAAGACCUCUGUAUGCAGAGCAGAUGGACCAGAAUCCAGAUAUGUUCCUGCUUUACCAACCAUUUAUAUUUUGAGUCAAAUAAGAUAAUAACUGUAAGUUUUUGA